AAGAACCUUGCGCUUUUGGAGCGGCCGAUGCCUGAUUAGCUAGUUGGUGGGGUAAAAGCCUACCAAGGCAACGAUCAGUAGUUGGUCUGAGAGGACGGCCAGCCACACUGGGACUGAGACACGGCCCAGACUCCUACGGGAGGCAGCAGUGGGGAAUUUUGGACAAUGGGCGCAAGCCUGAUCCAGCAAUGCCGCGUGAGUGAAGAAGGCCUUCGGGUUGUAAAGCUCUUUCAGUCGAGAAGAAAAGAUUGUGACGAAUAAUCACAAUUCAUGACGGUAUCGACAGAAGAAGCACCGGCUAACUACGUGCCAGCAGCCGCGGUAAUACGUAGGGUGCAAGCGUUAAUCGGAAUUACUGGGCGUAAAGGGUGCGCAGGCGGCUUUGUAAGUCAGAUGUGAAAUCCCCGGGCUUAACCUGGGAAUU
rnacentral:rRNA from 1 species